rnacentral:rRNA from 1 species
UACGAAGGGUGCAAACGUUGCUCGGAAUUAUUGGGCGUAAAGGGUGCGCAGGCGGCCGUGUGUGUGAGGCGUGAAAGCCCGGGGCUUAACCCCGGAAUUGCACCUCAAACUACACGGCUAGAGCAUUGGAGAGGGUAGCGGAAUUCACGGUGUAGCAGUGAAAUGCGUAGAUAUCGUGAGGAACACCAGAGGCGAAGGCGGCUACCUGGACAAUUGCUGACGCUCAGGCACGAAAGCGUGGGGAGCAAAAGGG